rnacentral:rRNA from 1 species
UUAAGCGACUAAGCGUACACGGUGGAUGCCCUGGCAGUCAGAGGCGAUGAAGGACGUGCUAAUCUGCGAUAAGCGUCGGUAAGGUGAUAUGAACCGUUAUAACCGGCGAUUUCCGAAUGGGGAAACCCAGUGUGUUUCGACACACUAUCAUUAACUGAAUCCAUAGGUUAAUGAGGCGAACCGGGGGAACUGAAACAUCUAAGUACCCCGAGGAAAAGAAAUCAACCGAGAUUCCCCCAGUAGCGGCGAGCGAACGGGGAGGAGCCCAGAGCCUGAAUCAGUGUGUGUGUUAGUGGAAGCGUCUGGAAAGGCGCGCGAUACAGGGUGACAGCCCCGUACACAAAAAUNCACAUAUUGUGAGCUCGAUGAGUAGGGCGGGACACGUGGUAUCCUGUCUGAAUAUGGGGGGACCAUCCUCCAAGGCUAAAUACUCCUGACUGACCGAUAGUGAACCAGUACCGUGAGGGAAAGGCGAAAAGAACCCCGGCGAGGGGAGUGAAAAAGAACCUGAAACCGUGUACGUACAAGCAGUGGGAGCACGCUUAGGCGUGUGACUGCGUACCUUUUGUAUAAUGGGUCAGCGACUUAUAUUCUGUAGCAAGGUUAACCGAAUAGGGGAGCCGAAGGGAAACCGAGUCUUAACUGGGCGUUAAGUUGCAGGGUAUAGACCCGAAACCCGGUGAUCUAGCCAUGGGCAGGUUGAAGGUUGGGUAACACUAACUGGAGGACCGAACCGACUAAUGUUGAAAAAUUAGCGGAUGACUUGUGGCUGGGGGUGAAAGGCCAAUCAAACCGGGAGAUAGCUGGUUCUCCCCGAAAGCUAUUUAGGUAGCGCCUCGUGAAUUCAUCUCCGGGGGUAGAGCACUGUUUCGGCAAGGGGGUCAUCCCGACUUACCAACCCGAUGCAAACUGCGAAUACCGGAGAAUGUUAUCACGGGAGACACACGGCGGGUGCUAACGUCCGUCGUGAAGAGGGAAACAACCCAGACCGCCAGCUAAGGUCCCAAAGUCAUGGUUAAGUGGGAAACGAUGUGGGAAGGCCCAGACAGCCAGGAUGUUGGCUUAGAAGCAGCCAUCAUUUAAAGAAAGCGUAAUAGCUCACUGGUCGAGUCGGCCUGCGCGGAAGAUGUAACGGGGCUAAACCAUGCACCGAAGCUGCGGCAGCGANGCUUAUGCGUUGUUGGGUAGGGGAGCGUUCUGUAAGCCUGCGAAGGUGUGCUGUGAGGCAUGCUGGAGGUAUCAGAAGUGCGAAUGCUGACAUAAGUAACGAUAAAGCGGGUGAAAAGCCCGCUCGCCGGAAGACCAAGGGUUCCUGUCCAACGUUAAUCGGGGCAGGGUGAGUCGACCCCUAAGGCGAGGCCGAAAGGCGUAGUCGAUGGGAAACAGGUUAAUAUUCCUGUACUUGGUGUUACUGCGAAGGGGGGACGGAGAAGGCUAUGUUGGCCGGGCGACGGUUGUCCCGGUUUAAGCGUGUAGGCUGGUUUUCUAGGCAAAUCCGGAAAAUCAAGGCUGAGGCGUGAUGACGAGGCACUACGGUGCUGAAGCAACAAAUGCCCUGCUUCCAGGAAAAGCCUCUAAGCAUCAGGUAACAUCAAAUCGUACCCCAAACCGACACAGGUGGUCAGGUAGAGAAUACCAAGGCGCUUGAGAGAACUCGGGUGAAGGAACUAGGCAAAAUGGUGCCGUAACUUCGGGAGAAGGCACGCUGAUAUGUAGGUGAAGUCCCUCGCGGAUGGAGCUGAAAUCAGUCGAAGAUACCAGCUGGCUGCAACUGUUUAUUAAAAACACAGCACUGUGCAAACACGAAAGUGGACGUAUACGGUGUGACGCCUGCCCGGUGCCGGAAGGUUAAUUGAUGGGGUCAGCGCAAGCGAAGCUCUUGAUCGAAGCCCCGGUAAACGGCGGCCGUAACUAUAACGGUCCUAAGGUAGCGAAAUUCCUUGUCGGGUAAGUUCCGACCUGCACGAAUGGCGUAAUGAUGGCCAGGCUGUCUCCACCCGAGACUCAGUGAAAUUGAACUCGCUGUGAAGAUGCAGUGUACCCGCGGCAAGACGGAAAGACCCCGUGAACCUUUACUAUAGCUUGACACUGAACAUUGAGCCUUGAUGUGUAGGAUAGGUGGGAGGCUUUGAAGUGUGGACGCCAGUCUGCAUGGAGCCGGCCUUGAAAUACCACCCUUUAAUGUUUGAUGUUCUAACGUGGACCCGUGAUCCGGGUUGCGGACAGUGUCUGGUGGGUAGUUUGACUGGGGCGGUCUCCUCCUAAAGAGUAACGGAGGAGCACGAAGGUUGGCUAAUCCUGGUCGGACAUCAGGAGGUUAGUGCAAUGGCAUAAGCCAGCUUGACUGCGAGCGUGACGGCGCGAGCAGGUGCGAAAGCAGGUCAUAGUGAUCCGGUGGUUCUGAAUGGAAGGGCCAUCGCUCAACGGAUAAAAGGUACUCCGGGGAUAACAGGCUGAUACCGCCCAAGAGUUCAUAUCGACGGCGGUGUUUGGCACCUCGAUGUCGGCUCAUCACAUCCUGGGGCUGAAGUAGGUCCCAAGGGUAUGGCUGUUCGCCAUUUAAAGUGGUACGCGAGCUGGGUUUAGAACGUCGUGAGACAGUUCGGUCCCUAUCUGCCGUGGGCGCUGGAGAACUGAGGGGGGCUGCUCCUAGUACGAGAGGACCGGAGUGGACGCAUCACUGGUGUUCGGGUUGUCAUGCCAAUGGCACUGCCCGGUAGCUAAAUGCGGAAGAGAUAAGUGCUGAAAGCAUCUAAGCACGAAACUUGCCCCGAGAUGAGUUCUCCCUGACCCUUUAAGGGUCCUGAAGGAACGUUGAAGACGACGACGUUGAUAGGCCGGGUGUGUAAGCGCAGCGAUGCGUUGAGCUAACCGGUACUAAUGAACCGUGAGGCUUAACCUU